UGGGGAAUUUUGGACAAUUGGGCGAAAGCCUGAUCCAGCAAUGCCGCGUGUGUGAAGAAGGCCUUCGGGUUGUAAAGCACUUUUGUCCGGAAAGAAAUCCUUGGCUCUAAUACAGUCGGGGGAUGACGGUACCGGAAGAAUAAGCACCGGCUAACUACGUGCCAGCAGCCGCGGUAAUACGUAGGGUGCAAGCGUUAAUCGGAAUUACUGGGCGUAAAGCGUGCGCAGGCGGUUUGCUAAGACCGAUGUGAAAUCCCCGGGCUCAACCUGGGAACUGCAUUGGUGACUGGCAGGCUAGAGUAUGGCAGAAGGGGGGUAGAAUUCCACGUGUAGCAGUGAAAUGCGUAGAGAUGUGGAGGAAUACCGAUGGCGAAGGCAGCCCCCUGGGCCAAUACUGACGCUCAUGCACGAAAGCGUGGGGAGCAAACAGGAUUAGAUACCCUGGUAGUCCACGCCCUAAANGAUGUCAACUAGUUGUUGGGGAUUCAUUUCCUAGUAACGUAGCUAACGCGUGAAGUUGACCGCCUGGGGAGUACGGUCGCAAGAUUAAAACUCAAAGAAUUGACGGGGUCAUAGCUGUUUCCU
rnacentral:rRNA from 1 species